GAAAGUAGGCGCAGGUAGUUGCAGAUCAGUAAUUUUAACUGGUUUGAGGAAAGUCCGGACUCCCGAAAGACCAAACUUGCUGGAUAACGUCCAGUGCGAGUGAUCGUGAGGAUAGUGCCACAGAAAGAUACCGCCUUUUUCAGUGAACAGUCAACAGAUAAUAUCUAUUACUGGUAACUGAAAAGGGUAAGGGUGCAAAGGUGCGGUAAGAGCGCACCAGCAGUAUCGAGAGGUACUGGCUCGGUAAACCCCGGUUGGGAGCAAGGCCGAAGGAACUAUGGUUGGUCUUUUUCCAGUUCCGCUUAGGAAGCGCCGCUAGAGGUGUUUGGUAACAAGCAUCCCAGAUAGAUAACUGCCCUCGCAAGAGAACAGAACCCGGCUUAUGUCCUACUUUCUCUU
rnacentral:RNase_P_RNA from 1 species